rnacentral:rRNA from 1 species
AUUGAACGCUGGCGGCAGGCCUAACACAUGCAAGUCGAACGGUAGCACAGAGAGCUUGCUCUCGGGUGACAAGUGGCGGACGGGUGAGUAACGUCUGGGAAACUGCCCGAUGGAGGGGGAUAACUACUGGAAACGGUAGCUAAUACCGCAUAACGUCGCAAGACCAAAGUGGGGGACCUUCGGGCCUCACACCAUCGGAUGUGCCCAGAUGGGAUUAGCUAGUAGGUGGGGUAAUGGCUCACCUAGGCGACGAUCCCUAGCUGGUCUGAGAGGAUGACCAGCCACACUGGAACUGAGACACGGUCCAGACGCCUACGGGAGGCAGCAGUGGGGAAUAUUGCACAAUGGGCGCAAGCCUGAUGCAGCCAUGCCGCGUGUAUGAAGAAGGCCUUCGGGUUGUAAAGUACUUUCAGCGGGGAGGAAGGCGGUGAAGUUAAUAACUUCACCGAUUGACGUUACCCGCAGAAGAAGCACCGGCUAACUCCGUGCCAGCAGCCGCCGUAAAAC